rnacentral:rRNA from 1 species
UUAAGAUAGUAAGAGCAUACGGUGGAUGCCUUGGCGAUAUCUGCCGAUGAAGGACGCGACAAGCUGCGAAAAGCUGCGGUGAGGUGCAAAUGACCUUUGACCCGCAGAUGUCCGAAUGGAGCAAUCCGGCUGUGGUUAUGCACAGUCACCCAUGCCUGUGAGUAUGGGAGGGAACCAGGCGAACUGAAACAUCUAAGUAGCCUGAGGAGAAGUAAUCAAACGAGAUACCCCCAGUAGCGGCGAGCGAACGGGGCAGAAGCCCAAACCGCAGAAGGAAACUUUUACGGGGUUGAGGGCCGUCAUACGAACGUGGAAUCCAGCUGAAGCUUCUGGGAAGGAGCGCCGCAGGAUGUGAAAGCCAUGUAAGCGAAAGAGGAAGCGGAACAGACGGUACCAGAGUACCGCGGGACACGAGAAACCCCGUGGGAAGCAGGGGGGACCACCCUCCAAGGCAAAACACAGAUAUCGACCGAUAGCGCAUAGUACCAUGAGGGAAAGGUGAAAAGCACCCCGGGAGGGGAAUGAAACAGAACCUGAAACCGUAUGUUUACAAGCAGUCGGAGACCGUAUAUAUAUCAGGUCGACGGCGUGCCUAUUGAAGAAUGAACCGGCGAGUUAUGAGGUCCAGCGAGGUUAAGCAGGAAAUGCGGAGCCGAAGCGAAAGCGAGUCUUAACAGGGCGAGUAGUUGGACUGCAUAGACCCGAAACCACAGUGAUCUACCCAUGUCCAGGUUGAAGCACAGGUAAAAAUGUGUGGAGGACCGAACCUAUAUCCGUUGAAAAGGGUUAGGAUGAGGUGUGGGUAGGGGUGAAAUUCCAAUCGAACGUGGAGAUAGCUGGUUCUCCCCGAAAUAGCUUUAGGGCUAGCCUCAGGGUAAAGAUUGCAGGCGGUAGAGCACUGAUCAGGAGAGGGACCUACCCGGUUACCAAACCCAGUCAAACUACGAAUGGCUGCAAUUAUACCUGGGAGUCAGACUACGACUUAUAAGGGCCGUGGUCAAAAGGGAAACAGCCCAGAUCAUCAGCUAAGGUCCCAAAUGCCGUGCUAAGUGGCGAAGGAUGUGGCGUUUCAUAAACAACCAGGAUGUUGGCUCAGAAGCAGCCACCAUUUAAAGAGUGCGUAAUAGCUCACUGGUCGAGAGACGCUGCGCCGAAAAUGUCCGGGGCUCAAGCACGGAACCGAAGCUAUGGCAUUGCGUAAGCAAUGGGUAGGGGAGCGUUCUUAUGGGGAAGAAGCAUUACCGUAAGGAGAUGUGGACACAUAAGAAGUGAGAAUGCCGGUAUGAGUAUCGAAAAGAAAGGUGAGAAUCCUUUCCACCGAAAGCCCGAGGGUUCCUGAGCAACGAUCGUCGUCUCAGGGUAAGUCGGGACCUAAGCCGAGGCACAGACGCAUAGGCGAUGGACAACAGGUUGAAAUUCCUGUACCGGAUGGAGUCAUUUGAGCAAUGGAGUGACGCAGGAGGGCACAUGAUCGCGCGACUGGAAGAGCGCGUCCAAGUGCGUAUGUUGAAUCGGAGGCAAAUCCCCGAUUCUGAAAGCAGAGACAUGAUGGGGAGUUAUAAGCGAUUAUGACGAACUCAUGGAUCCCACACUGCCAAGAAAAACUUCUAGCGAGACGAAAUCCGCCCGUACCGUAAACCGACACAGGUAGGCGGGGAGAGAAUCCUAAGGUGCGCGGGAAAACCCUCGUUAAGGAACUCGGCAAAUUGCAUCCGUAACUUCGGGAGAAGGAUGGCCCUGAGUAGGCGAAGUGCAGAAACGCACGGAACAGAAAAGGGUGGCAGAAAAGAGGCCCAAGCAACUGUUUACCAAAAACACAGGUGCCUGCGAAAGCGAAAGCUGAAGUAUAGGUGCUGACGCCUGCCCGGUGCUGGAAGGUUAAGGGGAGAGGUUAGCGCAAGCGAAGCUUUGAACUUAAGCCCCAGUAAACGGCGGCCGUAACUAUAACGGUCCUAAGGUAGCGAAAUUCCUUGUCGGGU